CUAGAUCACACCAUGUUCACUUGGCUGAUGCUCUCCUGCCUCUUAGGCUUCUCCCUGGCUGAGGUUCAGGAUUACCAAUAUGUUACACGGGAAACAGCGCCGCUGAAAACAGCUGCAUGAAAGUGGAUGUAGACCGCCUUGCCAUGAAAAUUCACUUCCACAUGCCUGAAUCCGACGACUUCGAUGACGUGGAAACUCUGGAGGAUUAUAGUGUGGGUCUAGCAGCAUCUCGAGUUGUGUCCCAGGAGCGUGUUACGUGAGGCGACUGGUUAAAUCUUUCGAGCAACAAGUAGCCUUCAUCAAAGGCCAUCAGGAUGAUGGCAUGAGGGUUGAGUCUGACGUCAGAGUUUCCGCUGUUCCCUCGACAAUCCUGAGGAGGAGAUCGGCUCGGAUCUUGCCAACUUCUGUGGCGACCUUCCCGUUUACAAACUGGUCACUGAAGAACAGAAUGACAGUGUUCAAGACCGUCGUCAAGUGAGCGUCACCUUCACCCGCUGCAUCCUGCUGUGUUUCAUUCCCAGGUGCUUCACCACCACGCUCACUCUCCCCACUGGCUC